rnacentral:rRNA from 1 species
CAGCAGCCGCGGUAAUACGUAGGUGGCAAGCGUUGUCCGGAAUUAUUGGGCGUAAAGGGCUCGCAGGCGGUUUCUUAAGUCUGAUGUGAAAGCCCCCGGCUCAACCGGGGAGGGUCAUUGGAAACUGGGAAACUUGGGUGCAGAAGAGGAGAGUGGAAUUCCACGUGUAGCGGUGAAAUGCGUAGAGAUGUGGAGGAACACCAGUGGCGAAGGCGACUCUCUGGUCUGUAACUGACGCUGAGGAGCGAAAGCGUGGGGAGCGAACAGGAUUAGAUACCCCUGUAGUCCAUGUCUCUUAUAC